AUGCUCAUUUUGGCAGCAUACAUGCUAAAAUUGAAAUAAUACAGAGAAGAUUAGCAUGGCCCCUGCCUAAGGAUGAUAUAUUAAUUCAUGAAGCAUUCCAUGGUUUU
ensembl:snRNA U6 U6 spliceosomal RNA